GUGCCAGCCGCCGCGGUAAUACGUAGGAGGCAAGCGUUGUCCGGAAUUACUGGGCGUAAAGGGUGCGUAGGCGGGACGGUAAGUCGGGCGUGAAAUCCCGCGGCUCAACCGCGGAACUGCGCUCGAUACUGCCGACCUUGAGUACGGGAUAGGAGAGCGGAACUCACGGUGUAGCGGUAAAAUGCGUAGAUAUCGUGAGGAACACCGGUGGCGAAGGCGGCUCUCUGGCCCGAUACUGACGCUGAAACACGAAAGCCAGGGUAGCGAACGGGAUUAGAUACCCCGGUAGUCCUGGCCGUAAACGAUGGGCACUAGGUGUGGGAAGCAUCGACCCUUUCCGUGCCGAAGCUAACGCAUUAAGUGCCCCGCCUGGGGAGUACGAUCGCAAGGUUGAAACUUAAAGGAAUUGACGGGG
rnacentral:rRNA from 1 species